ACCUCCAGUCAUGAGGACAACACAGAGGAUACUGAAGAUGUAGAAUCUUCUUUCGUUGCACUUGAAGGUGGAUUCAGAAUCCCAGAAACUAUCUUUAACAAACUUUUUGACUAUCAGAAGGUUGGUGUACAGUGGUUGUGGGAACUUCACUGUCAAAGAGCUGGUGGGAUAAUUGGAGAUGAGAUGGGUCUUGGUAAAACCAUACAGGUUUUGUCUUUCCUUGGAUCACUGCAUUUUAGCGAAAUGUAUAAGCCAAGCAUUAUCAUUUGUCCAGUCACACUUUUGCGGCAAUGGAAGAGGGAAGCUAAAACAUGGUAUCCCAGCUUCCACGUGGAGAUAUUACAUGAUUCAGCCCAUGAUUUAUCAAGUAAAAAGAAGCAAUCGGAUUCUGAAAGUGACUAUGAAAGUGAAGAUCUGCUCGAUAGUGAGACUGAAGGAAAAAAAUCUUCCAGGACUUCCAAAAAAUGGGAUCCCGUUAUUGCCCGUGUUGUAAGAUCAAAUUCUGGGCUAUUGAUCACCACUUAUGAACAACUCCGUCUAUUGGGAGAAAAAUUACUUGAUAUCGA
rnacentral:misc_RNA from 1 species